UAUUCUCGUACAUCUCUCUUUUUUUUUUUUUUUAAACAAUAUUUCUUCGUGGGGUUUGGAUUCGUGGGUUUGUGCACCAAAAUUUAUCUGUAAUACUCCAUGACCACAUCAAAUUGAACGUUUGUAAGAAGAAUUUAAAUCAUUUUCUAAGCGAUUAAUCGAGGUAUGCCACUUUCCCUUGUUACUUAUUGUGCUUUUUAGUACGCGUUGAUUUUCUAAGCGUGUUUCUAUUGUUUGUAGAAGUGGGGCAAAUCAGUUCCAUUUUAUGAAUAUGAAGGAUUUUCCAUCUUGUUUUGGGGAAAAUGGGGUUCUAGUUGCUGAUUUUUCUUCUUCAAAUGCAAAUAGUAACAGAGCUGCCCAGAAUGUGGUGACUCGUGUUUAUCAAUGUAGAUUGCUUGGAAAAUCUUGCUGGAUUACUUUAACUUGGAGUAAAAAUUUAAUGGGUCAGGGGCUUAGUGUUGGGGUUGAUGAUAGCACCAAUCAGUGCCUCUGUAAGACAGAUAUUAAACCUUGGUUGUUUUCUAAGAAGAAAGGGUCAAAGAAAUUAGAAGCAGACUUAUGUAAAAUUGAUAUAUAUUGGGAUCUUUCUUCGGCUAAAUUCGGAUCCGGUCCGGAGCCAUUAAAGGGAUUUUAUGUGAGGCUUGUAUUUGAGAAGCAAAUGAUCCUGCUCCUUGGAGAUAUGAGGAAGGAAGCUUUGAAGAAAACAGGUUGCGUCCCUGCCCCAUUACCAUUUAGUGCUAUUCUUAUAUCGAAGAGAGAACAAAUUUUUGGGAAGACGAUAUUCAGAACUCGGGCUCAAUUUUGUGACAUUGGCAAAAUACAUGACCUUGUGAUUGAAUGUGAUACCAGUGGCGUUUGUGAUCCGUGCCUUGUUAUACGUGUUGAUUCAAAGCCGAUGAUGCAAUUGAAGCGCCUCCAGUGGAAGUUUCGAGGAAAUGACACCAUCUUGGUGGAUGGACUUGCUGUACAAGUAUUUUGGGAUGUGCAUGAUUGGCUCUUUGCAAUGUCUCCUGGAAAUGCAGUGUUUAUGUUCAACUCCAGCUUUCCAUCUGACAAGUUAUGGACAAGCCAACCUCUAUAUGAUCCCCACACACUGCACUGGUCGUGGUCUCAAAGAUUCCAAGAUUACCAUUCACAAAAUCUUGGUUUCUCAUUAAUUUUGCAUGCUUGGAAGAAUGAAUGAGGAAGUAGAAAUUUAGUGAUUAAAUGCUAACAGAUAUUUCUAAUGAGAUAUGAUUUUUAUUGAUUGUGCUAUUUGACUUUACUUGAGUAUAGAUUGUCAAUUUGUUUGUUUAUUAUAUUAGAAGUCCAAAAUUUUGGAAUUCAAACUUUUUUUCUUCUUCUUGUUCGUAUAUUGUCAGGUCAAUGUUCUAUUCAUUUGGUUAUCUGUGGAAGUUUCCUUGUUGAGAUUAGUUUUCUUUAUGAUUAUGCUAUUUUUCUUUCGGCUUUUUAAUUGGGAUUUGCAGUGUUUACAAGACGAAGUAUCGACAAGUCAUUUAUCUAGCUUCUUUCAAUAAAAUCUCUUUCCCAUUUUGAAUAUGACUCUAGGUAAGUUUCUUCUUCAAACUUAAGCUUAAUAUUAUUUUCCCCCUUAAUUUUUGUUUUGUAUUUGUAAACUAACUACCUACAGGGUUUGGUAACUUCACAUUACAGGAUAUUAACUUACGGUGGAGAAAACAAAAUCAGUAGAUAUACUGUAUUAUCAAAACUGAGGCUGGUUGGCAGCAAGAUUCUUUUCCCCGCUUUGUUGCAUGAAUAUGCGCGAUCAUCACAGCAAUCAGUUUGACGAUGGAUGAACCCGUGGAUUUCAGUAUGAAUUCGAGUGUCUUUUUAACUCUCAAAAUUGUAAAUGAUUCAGAACGGUACUCCCCCUGUUGCCAGUCUUUAGGUUUUAUUUUAUGGAUGUUUUGAGCUAUAUUGUCAUUUGUGUAGAUUUAUGAAUGAGACUAGUGUUCAGAAAAACAAUAAAAUAGGCAGAUUAGAGGAAUAGAUCUUAUGAAUGAAGGUUUGAAAGCGAAAUAUUCCAGUUAUUCAUCGAUGAUUAUCUCAGACGAAAUUAUUCUAGACGUAAAAUCCUGAAGUUUUAUCUCAAAAAUGUUGGGUCUCUUGCUACUUUUUUCCAGAGCCACUAGCAAGAGGACAUAGCUGUAGGUAUAUGAACAUUCUUUCCUCUGCCCAUCUUGAAGCAGUGAAUCGGUAGUUACACCCCAUGUGUGAUAUCCAUGCCAUCUCUUCUUUGUAUUACCUGAAGGCUAUUGCCAUACAUUUUAGCUUCUGGAUUUGUCUCUUGCCUGAAUAGACUUUUUCUCUCAGGUCUUUACGAAGCCUUGGA
rnacentral:lncRNA from 1 species